AGCGAACGCUGGCGGCAGGCUUAACACAUGCAAGUCGAACGCCCCGCAAGGGGAGUGGCAGACGGGUGAGUAACACGUGGGAACGUACCCUUUGGUUCGGAAUAACUUGGGGAAACUCAAGCUAAUACCGGAUAAGCCCUUAUGGGGAAAGGUUUACUGCCGAAGGAUCGGCCCGCGUCUGAUUAGCUAGUUGGUGAGGUAAUGGCUCACCAAGGCGACGAUCAGUAGCUGGUCUGAGAGGAUGAUCAGCCACACUGGGACUGAGACACGGCCCAGACUCCUACGGGAGCCAGCAGUGGGGAAUAUUGGACAAUGGGGGCAACCCUGAUCUAGCCAUGCCGCGUGAGUGAUGAAGGCCUUAGGGUUGUAAAGCUCUUUUACCCGGGACGAUAAUGACUGUUCCGGGAGAAUAAGCCCCGGCUAACUUCGUGCCAGCAGCCGCAGUAA
rnacentral:rRNA from 1 species